GCGUUGUUCGGAAUUACUGGGCGUAAAGCGCACGUAGGCGGACAUUUAAGUCAGGGGUGAAAUCCCAGAGCUCAACUCUGGAACUGCCUUUGAUACUGGGUGUCUGGAGUAUGGAAGAGGUGAGUGGAAUUCCGAGUGUAGAGGUGAAAUUCGUAGAUAUUCGGAGGAACACCAGUGGCGAAGGCGGCUCACUGGUCCAUUACUGACGCUGAGGUGCGAAAGCGUGGGGAGCAAACAGG
rnacentral:rRNA from 1 species